AAUAAAAUGGCUGAUUAGGCGAUAAAUUGUAAAUUUAUUUAUGAAAUUUUUUUUUCUUUUAUUA
rnacentral:tRNA from 1 species